UGGAGGGAUGGAGAUGCGGGCCGUGGAGGGAUGGAGAUGAGGGUGAUGGAGGAAUGGAGAUGAGGGUGAUGGAGGAAUGGAGAUGAGGGUGAUGGAGGGACGGAGAUGAGGGCGGUGGAGGGAUGGAGAUGCGGGCCGUGGAGAGAUGGAGAUGAAGAACCAACUCCAAGGCUAACCAGAGAGCAUGGCCAGUGUGGUGACAGAAAUGAAGAGUUUCUGUGCAGAGCUCACCAAUAAAGGAACCUGGACACCCUCCUCUUGUCCUACUGACCUGAGAUGUGCCAGAACAUCAGCAGAGUCAUAGGGAUUGCCCAAUACUUGCCUGCUGAAGUGUUUGCACUAACUGCUCACAAAGAGGAAACUUUUUUUGGCUUUGUAGCUGGCUUUCAUCAUAUCCUCCAGACUGAGGUGUAGAACAGCUGUAGAGAGCCAGAAAGAAGGACCCUGAGGCCUUCAUCUUAAACUCCAGUUCUGUGUUUUUGCCUGUGUUAAUCUGGAAUAGGUCCCAUUACAUUGACCUGAAUCGAAACAGGAUUACAUGAAAUUCAAGUACUGGUUAUACAGAAGAAAUGUGCUGCAUUCUCUGCUAUAUUAAGUGGAUAUUACUGUCUUAGUUUUGGGAUAAACAGGACACUUUCCAUGAAUGAAUGAUAAAAAUAGGAGGUAGAUUCAGAACUUUUCACCUCGAGUUUCUACAAUUCACUUAGAAAGGUGUUGCAUUUGUUAUCCACAUUGAAGUAGCAGAUUUUGCCAUCACGGUGGCAUCAAGCUGACUUCCUCCCGAUUGUCUUGUGAUUUCUUCCAAAAGAAAACUAAAGGAGCAAUCCAGGCAAGCUUUCCCUCUAUCAGGUGUGCGUGUCGUGUGCACAGAUGGACACACACAAGGUAAACACACUGCUAGAGAGCUGCAGGCGCUGCAGGUGCUGAAUUCAGCUGUAAAUGCACACACAGAAAUAAGGCAGAUCACAGCUGAACUCUGCUGAAAUGCUAGUGCAAAACUGGCCUCAUGUUAAUAGUUUUGUUGGAGUGGUUGCAUCGCCUGGAAGAGCAGAGAAAGGCCACAAGCUUUAUAGUUAUGACAAACUGCAAAAGAGCUGGAAAUCGACAGUGGGAAGGGAAGACUUUGCUGCCAUGUGUGUCUUCAACUGCAGGCAAAGCUCCCUCGGUGGCUCUGGUGCUAUCAUAGUUCUGACUUGUCUUUGAUUAAUGCAUGUGGAACCCUGGGAGCCCUGGCACACUGUGUUACACCUAUUUCAUAACUGCCUGCAGUUUCUUGUUAAGUAAUCUGGCUGUGAGAGUUACCAAGCUGUCCUGCUUAACAUUCCAGAGGAGGAAAAAAUGUAGUGUUUUCCCAUUCUGUACUACAAAAGUGGCGGAGAUUUACAUCUUGCAAACAAGUGGGCACUGUCACUGGAUGUGAUAAUUGAAAGUCUUCACUGAUUAACUAGGUGAAAAAUGCCUAUUAUAUGAUUGUCUUUUGGCAAAUAUUGAAAUGAAUAUUAUAUGUGUUAUGUUAGAAAGUUAUGCUGUAUUAAUUGUCUUAAGUAGUGUGUUAAAUAUAGUUUUAGGUUAUAAUAUAAUGUUAAAAUAGAAAUUGUGCUAUGUAAGAUACUUUUUUAAAGAGAGGACUUGCACCAACAUAGCAGCCACAGGACACCUAAAUCCUUCAGAGAAAGAGAAUUUAUUGCCCUCUUAUCGAGUUCUUCCCACCUUGCUUGGCCCUGAAGACGCUGUCAGGACUCAGAGGAAGAAGCUGACACUGACCACACAGAAUCCUGUGUUUGAAUGGAAUUUAUGCAUCAUGUAUGAGAUGUAUGAAUAUGCAACAGGCUAUUGCUUUUAAGGGUUAAUCCUCUGUUAACUUGGGUCCUUUUAGGGGCUUAUUUUGCCCAGAAAAAGGUACCCGGACGUCUUUGUUUAUAUUGUCUCAUAUUGUUGUAAAUUCUAAUUGUCCAAAUUUUUAUUACUCUAAUUAUAUUACUAUUUUUAUAACCAUUUUAUU